GAAUUUUGCGCAAUGGACGAAAGUCUGACGCAGCGACGCCGCGUGGGCGACGAAGCUCUUUGGAGUGUAAAGCCCUGUCAGGUGGGACGAAUCCGGAGGGAGUGAAUAACUCGCCUUCGCUGACGGUACCCCCAGAGGCAGCCCCGGCUAACUCCGUGCCAGCAGCCGCGGUAAUACGGAGGGGGCGAGCGUUGUUCGGAAUCACUGGGUGUAAAGGGUGCGUAGGCGGUCCGAUAAGUCUGAUGUGAAAGCCCUGGGCUCAACUCAGGAACUGCAUUGGAAACUGACGGACUGGAGUACCGGAGAGGGAAGCGGAAUUCCUGGUGUAGCGGUGAAAUGCGUAGAUACCAGGAGGAACACCGGUGGCGAAGGCGGUUUCCUGGCCGAGUACUGACGCUGAGGCACGAAAGCGUGGGGAGCGAACGGG
rnacentral:rRNA from 1 species